rnacentral:misc_RNA from 1 species
GAUGAAGAACGUAGCAAAAUGCGAUAAGUAAUGUGAAUUGCAGAAUUCAGUGAAUCAUCGAAUCUUUGAACGCACAUUGCGCCCGCCGGUAUUCCGGCGGGCAUGCCUGUUCGAGCGUCAUUUCAACCCUCAAGCCCCCGGGUUUGGUGUUGGGGAUCGGCUCUGCCCUUCUGGGCGGUGCCGCCCCCGAAAUACAUUGGCGGUCUCGCUGCAGCCUCCAUUGCGUAGUAGCUAACACCUCGCAACUGGAACGCGGCGCGGCCAUGCCGUAAAACCCCAACUUCUGAAUGUUGACCUCGGAUCAGGUAGGAAUACCCGCUGAACUUAAGCAUAUCAAUAACGGAGGA